AAGCAAAGUCAUAAAGUCAUGCAAGUUAAACAAGUGGGUGAUGGGUUGGUGUGUAAGAGAAGUACCAAUCAUGUACAAAAAUUCAAACACAUUUUCAAAUUUUGAAAAAAUCACACCAACCAACACAAAACAAAGACUUUAUGAAAUCAACCAAAAACUUUGAAUCAAAACACCAAACUUUUUGUUCUUGGUAAGAACAUCAAGAACAAUGAAGAACAUCCAUGAAAACCCAUAAGAGUUCCAUGAACAUUUUCACUCAAUAAAACUCAAAUUUUCACUACUCAAAAUGGGGUUAACAUCCUAGGGACUUAGGGGUUCCAAAAGUCACUUUAAAACACUUUUAACAAGACAAACAUGAACCCAAAAAAUCACCCUUUGGAUUUGGCCGAAUUUCCCCAAAAACAUGGCACCAAAUUUUAGCUCCAAAAUUCAUGCUCAUAUGAACUACAUCUACAACAUUUGAGAUGGCAAAUUUUCUAACAAAAUUUACAUUCAAAGAAGCAAGAAUAAAGCUUGUAACAAUUACAACAUUCAAAUCAAAGACUAUGAACUACAAAACCCAAAAGGAUUCACCAACUACUAGACCUAGGCUCUGAUACCACUUGAAGGAAAUUUUGUGAAAAACAUGUCAUUUGAGCAACAUCUAUGGAAUGCAAUUAACAAUUAAAGGCGGAAUCAUGCUUGUAUGCACUCAAAACAAAACAUUACCCACGAAAUUCAAAGCCUAGUAGAAGGGUGAACCAAGACUCAACUCAAAACAAAGUAAGUUGAGAAACUUUAUACCUUUGAAGAUUCCUCUUUGCAUAAGCAAAGACUAAUCACCCAAGGAGUGGGCCUUCAUUCCUUGCUUCUUAGAUCCAUCGAUUUCUUGGAGGAGGAUGGUAGAAAAGAUUCUCCAAGUUCUCAAAAUAGAGAACCUCUAAUUUUUCCACACCAAGGAGAGACUUGAAGAAGAGAGGAGUGACCUUGGAGGAUGAGAGAUUGCUAUCUAAUCUCCUCCAAGGGGGCCGGCCUCUUAGAGAGAAAGGGAGAGACAUUGUGUUCUCAUCUUUUCUCUAAAAGAAACCCUAAGGAUGAAAUGGCUAUAAAGUUGCCUUUAUACCACCUCACAAUGGAGUGGCAAACUUGCAAUUAAAGCAAGUUCACUACCCUCCUCUAUUUGGCCGGCCUUAAGGGUUUAUUG
rnacentral:lncRNA from 1 species